ACACACACACACACACAAGGUUGACAACCCUCGCUCUUGUGUCACUCUCUGUCUUUCUGAACCAACAAGAGGAGAGGGGAGAAAGAGGAGUGAGGGGGAGAAAAAGAGAAAAAAACAGUAUGGAAUAAGAAAAGAGAGAGAAAUAGAUGGAGGGAUUGUAGUAAAAGAAAAAAACAGCAUUUAAGGACUGCAGAUGAGAGCUGUAAGAGGGGCAGUGGAUAUCUGGACCCACUGUGUUUCAGAAGACCACUCCCUGGCCUCGGGAGCAGUGGGGGUGGCAGGCAGGAGGGGGUUAAAUAAGAGGAGUGAGAGAUGGAGGAGGUGUGAUUUAUUGCUGAGCACAAUAAAACAGGCGUGCGCCGCUGCACGCUCCCAGUCACAGCUCAGCGUGCUGAGGACAAUAUGGCGAUGGCUACGCUAAUGCUACGCUAAUGGUGCGUUUAUUCCUCAUGCAGGAGACAUAAUGAGAGCUGAAAGAGGGUUACUGAGGGGAGAGCAGUCCUUUACACACGCCAACACGACUCCAUUCAGCCUGAACACACUCUUGACCCUGCCUUCAUUAGGCGGUGCAGAAAUCCGAAGCGAUCUUCCCAUCCAGCAACACAGCAGAGCUGAGACACAGGAGGUGUGAAGUGGGCCUACAGCCUACAGCUGGUUUCAAUUAGCCACCAAGGGUCUCCUGAGGUCUCUCACCGGUCAAAACAACAGGGAGAGCAGAGAACAGAACAUUGGUCAGCCCAGAAUAGCUAUGGCUCCAUUUACUCCAAGAGCUGACAUGCAGCACGAGACCCUACAACACACCCACACUGCGCUUUACACAGCAAUCCAGCCCAUAUUUUCCAUCCUGAGCAUGUCAGCAUUCCUAGACAGUGGAAGCAGAAAGCAGUUCAAUCAUAAAUCUAAUCAGAAAGAUGGAAAGCAGUGUAAAUAAUACUGUAGCUGCUAGCUCCUAGUCAUUCAGUCUGCCUGUACUAACAGAAUGGAUGAUUAUAAAGAGCACAAUGAAUUCCAGUGUGGUACUGUAAAAGGGUGACACCACUGCAACAAGGCAGUUGGUGAAAUCCUUUUUAGUUUUUUUGUAUUAUUAUUUAUUUUUGUCUUAAUACUGAAUUCCUGUAGAGAUAAAUCUAUAUAUCUAUUAUA